rnacentral:rRNA from 1 species
UACAGAGGUCCCGAGCGUUGUUCGGAUUCAUUGGGCGUAAAGGGUGCGUAGGCGGCUUUCUAAGUCGGAUGUGAAAACUCUGGGCUCAACCCAGAGCCUGCAUCUGAAACUGGAGAGCUAGGGUUCUGGAGGGGAAAGCGGAAUUCCUGGUGUAGCGGUGAAAUGCGUAGAUAUCAGGAGGAACACCGGUGGCGAAGGCGGCUUUCUGGACAGAUACCGACGCUGAGGCACGAAAGCUAGGGGAGCAAACAGG